UACCGUAAACAGUGGGGCAGGGGCGACUCUUCUGUCCGACCUGACCGAAGUCUGUCCGACCUGGCAGAGCACGCUGCAUGGCUACGAGGAGUCGGUUUCGUGCCUGUCGUUCGGCGGUUCGGCCGGUGUGCUGGUCUCCGGCUGUCUGGGCGGCGAGCUGCGUCUUUGGCGACCACAUUCGGGACGCACCACACUGCUGGCCCUGCAGCAGAUGGCACACCGCCUGGGUGUUACCUGCUGCCAUAAUCUAUUAUCCAUCAGCAAACCAUAUGUAUGUUUUCUUUCUGAAUAAAAAUGUGCCUGGGCAAGUAAA